rnacentral:rRNA from 1 species
AUGCUGAAGGCUCUUCCCGCGCGCUUCCUCGUCUCACCGGAGCCCUGGGGGCGGCGCCGGAGGCCUCGCCCACGAUCUCUACGGCCGAUUUCGGCGGCGCUGAUGACCAACCCCGCGUACUUCGAGGUCGGCAGAUUGUUGGGUAACUAUGGCUUCAUGAACAUCACAAGCUAUUCAUCUUCUCAGUCUGGAGGGCUUCCAAACGAUGCUGUUAAUCAAGACCUUAGUCUUGGAUAUUCACCGGAAGAGAUUGAGCGAUUAAGAGUCCAAGAUGUUGGAGAGGGACAAGUGAAAAUUAGACUUUACGAGGGAAGAGUGGUGCAAGGUCCAUUGAAGGGCACACAAACUGUAUUUAAGGUAUACCCUGGAGCUAUUGCUGGUGCUUCUGAAGCUAAUUUGAUGGCACUGAAUGAGCUGAGGACUCAUGCUUUUCUUCAGAGUGAUGCAAGGGAUAUCUGUGAGAACAUUCAGUUUCUGUUAGGAGCAUUUGAGACAGCUACUGGAGAGCAGUGGCUUGCUUUCCGUGAUGAUGGGAGAUACAGUGCUGCAGACUAUGCAAAAAUAACCAGUGAAAGGCAGUUGAAGGAACGGCCUAAUUUUUGGAAUCCCUAUGAUCGUGCAUACAAAUUGGAACUGAGGAAAUAUUUUGUCCUUAGGCUGCUUAAUGGAGCUAUGUGUGGCCUUGUCCACAUGCACAAUCAUGAUAGACUGCACCAAAGCCUUGGCCCCUCUUCUGUUGUUCUCAACACUGUUGCAGAGAAAAAUGGAUACUAUUUACUUCCACAGCUCCGUGAUUUGGCAUUUUCUGUAGAUAUCGGGUAUUCCUCUGUUGGGGUUGGAGCGUUGUCAGAUGGUCUUUGGCGUCGAGCAUCUGCUGCUGGAGCAUCAACUCCUUUGGAGAAGCGAGCUUUUGGAGUAGCUGAUGACAUAUAUGGAGCUGGGUUGCUUAUUGCAUACAUGGCAUUUAUUCCGUUUUGCGAAGCAGGCAUCAUGGAUAGCAUUUCCUUGCAGAGGCUCUUGGAGAACACUUUCCGUCUCGACAUUUAUGCUGCAAGAGAGUAUUGCCUGGAAGAUGAUAAAUUGUCGGAAGCUGUAAACUUUCUAGAUUUAGGUGAUGGUGCCGGCUGGGAGUUGCUGCAGGCAAUGCUUAAUCCGGAUUACCGUAAACGACCAAUUGCUGAGGCUGUACUGAACCAUAGGUUUAUUACAGGGGCUCUAUUGUAG